AUUGAACGCUGGCGGCAGGCCUAACACAUGCAAGUCGAGCGGAAGAAGGGAGCUUGCUCCUGGAUUCAGCGGCGGACGGGCGAGUAAUGCCUAGGAAUCUGCCUGGUUGUGGGGGAUAAGGUCCGGACACGGGCGCUAAUACCGCAUACGUCCAGAGGGAGAAAGGGGGGGAUCUUGGGACCUUCGGCCAUCGGAUGAGCCUAGGUCGGAUUAGCUAGUUGGCGGGGUAAAGGCCUACCAAGGCGACGAUCCGUAACUGGUCUGAGAGGAUGAUCAGUCACACUGGAACUGAGACACGGUCCAGACUCCUACGGGAGGCAGCAGUGGGGAAUAUUGGACAAUGGGCGAAAGCCUGAUCCAGCCAUGCCGCGUGGGUGAAGAAGGUCUUCGGGUUGUAAAGCACUUUUAGUUGGGAAGAAGAGCAGUAAGUUAAUACCUUGCUGUUUUGACGUUACCAAAAGAAUAAGCACCGGCUAACUUCGUG
rnacentral:rRNA from 1 species